CCAAAACAAAAUAACAGCAAUCACCACAAGUACGUCUGCAAUAUGUCUGUUAAAGGUCUCUUGAUCUGGAAAGCAUCUGCUGUCUACAAACGUCUGACAGACGUCUUUCAGAUGUCAGUU